GGCCAGUCAGGAGAUGUGAAAACUGAAGAAACACGCACUAGCAAAGCAGUAAAAAGACGUUCCUCAAGGGCAUCCCAUUUAGCUGCAAUGGCAAAAGCAGCAGAAAAUCUAAAUUCUCUGGAAUCAAAUCUACUCAAACUGACAGAACCAGGUCCUGGAACUCGGCUUACAGGAAAGGAAUCUCCUUUGUUACUCUACCCUGUAAUUUCAUGUUGGACAUCAGAGCUUGCUUAUCGAGAAGGUAGGGUGGUUGGUGUUUAUAUUAAUUGUAAGGGCUCCUUU
rnacentral:lncRNA from 1 species